rnacentral:rRNA from 1 species
AGGAUAAACGCUGGCGGCGUGCCUAAAACAUGCAAGUCGAACGGUCACCCUUCGGGGUGGUAGUGGCGGACGGCUGAGUAACACGUGGGUGACCUGCCCCGGAGCGGGGGAUAACUGCCCGAAAGGGUGGCUAAUACCGCAGACAUCGGUGAUUCGGUUCACCGAUUGAACCGUUUAGGGUUCUGGGAGGGGCCCGCGGCCGAUUAGCUAGCUGGUGGGGUAAUGGCCUACCAGGGCGUCGAUCGGUAGCUGGUCUGAGAGGAUGAUCAGCCAGACUGGGACUGCGAACGGCCCAGACUCCUACGGGAGGCAGCAGUUAGGAAUUUUGGGCAAUGGGCGAAAGCCUGACCCAGCAACGCCGCGUGGGUGAUGAAGGCCCUCGGGUCGUAAAGCCCUUUUCCCAGGGAAGAUGAUGACGGUACCUGGGGAAUCAGCCCCGGCUAACUACGUGCCAGCAGCCGC